GCUGCUGCGCGCUCUGAGCUGCCGCUGCAGCGGCUGCUGCCGCCGCAGCUGCAGCCGUGGCAAAGAAGCAGGCUGCCGGCGGCAGGAAGGGCUGCUGGGGCUGCGGCUGGGGCUGCUGGCCGGCGCCGCCGCUCUCCAUCUUGGCAGAGCUUUCCAUGCGCAGCGGCGGCCAAGGAGUCGCAGGAUCAGAGUGAGCCCGGAUGCAAGCACGGAACGCACCAAGGCUCCAUCCUCCUGCAUGGACGUCAGGGGCCUCUGAGCUCCCGCGCGCCAGGGGGUGCUCUCCACAAUCAUCAGGGCGAGGGGAGCCACCAGCGGGGCAAGGAACUUAGGCACCAGGAGACUUGGAAGCCCUGAAACGCUCCUGCCGCCUCCCGAAAGCAGGGGCAGUUUACCGAAGUGACUGAGAGAUUGAAGAGGCAGAUGCCGGGGAACACAUUCUCCAGAGUUAUCAAGAUCUUCAGACCUGGGGACCACACAGUGGACAGUGGAUGCGCUCCUGCAGCCCUUUCUUAUACCUAGACAACCAGCAAUCACUCACCCCUCUAGUGACUGCAAGUGACAUAAUCAACUCCACCAUGAUCACAUCAAAUGUAUCCACAUCUUAACUUCUCCUUAUUUAGUUUAACUCUAUGACCUUGGCAAAUUUUACAAAAUAGAUGACGUUCAUAAGCAGAUAAGCCAACAUCUAGGGUCUCUUCAAACACCUUGGUGGCCAUGUAGAUGUGGGGCCCUAAAGCUUUAGUUUUGUUAGGUCCAUGAUGAAUCUGUCACUGAUUUCUAGGGAGUUAAGUGCAAAAAACAUGUUGCAUGAAUAAAUGAGUAAAUGAGUGGAUUUGCA